ACGGUUACCCGUAUGGCUAUGGCGAUGGCUACGGCUACGGCUAUUACGGUCCGUAUCCCGGUUUUUCCUACGGCUUCCCGGGAGCUCCGGCCGGUUUCUCUCCUGCUGGCCCAGGCAGCGCCAGCGCCGGCUCUGGAUCUAGCGGCUCACAAGUCUCUCUCACGCGCUCAGCUAGCAGGCCUUCGGCAGGUUCUAGUGCAAGCUCCAGCCGCCAAUCAAGCGCCAGCAGGGCAUAAUCUAGAGUCAUGGCCACUACUCGGAGCCUUACAGGAACGCAGGACCUGGUGAUGUUUUCAUGGCUGAUCCAAGCAAAUCUCUCCAAAAAAAAUAUUAGUUUUAGCGUCUCCAACACUCUCCGACGACGUCCUGCAAACAUUCACCUAAUAAAAUAAAAAUUCGAUAUGCAACUAGA